CCUACGGGAGGCAGCAGUGGGGAAUUUUGGACAAUGGGCGCAAGCCUGAUCCAGCAAUGCCGCGUGAGUGAAGAAGGCCUUCGGGUUGUAAAGCUCUUUUGUCAGGGAAGAAACGGUGGUUCCUAAUACGGACUACUAAUGACGGUACCUGAAGAAUAAGCACCGGCUAACUACGUGCCAGCAGCCGCGGUAAUACGUAGGGUGCAAGCGUUAAUCGGAAUUACUGGGCGUAAAGCGUGCGCAGGCGGUUAUAUAAGUCAGAUGUGAAAUCCCCGGGCUCAACCUGGGAACUGCAUUUGAGACUGUAUGGCUAGAGUGUGUCAGAGGGGGGUAGAAUUCCACGUGUAGCAGUGAAAUGCGUAGAUAUGUGGAGGAAUACCGAUGGCGAAGGCAGCCCCCUGGGAUAACACUGACGCUCAUGCACGAAAGCGUGGGGAGCAAACAGGAUUAGAUACCCUGGUAGUCCACGCCCUAAACGAUGUCUACUAGUUGUCGGGACUUAAUUGUCUUGGUAACGCAGCUAACGCGUGAAGUAGACCGCCUGGGGAUACGGUCGCAAGAUUAAAACUUAAAGAUUAGACGCGNGNGAGAGACGACGACGACGACGACGGAGGAGGAGG
rnacentral:rRNA from 1 species